UUGAACUUUGCAGGGGGUGCGUUGCGUUCACCUUCUCUGAGCCUCGGAGCGCUGGUAGAUAGGCACUAUUUCCCCCAACUCUCGAGGGAGGGAACAGAGGCCCAGAGAUGGGCAGUCAUCCAAGAUGACUCAGAAAUGACAAAGCAACAUUUGGCCAGAGGUCUUCCUGCCUCUGGUUUGAGGGAGUGGUCUGUGGACGCAGCCCGGCAGACCUGCACUGGCUUCGCGGAGCUGUAGGACAGGAGCCAGGACACGUUGCUCCAGGGAAGCAGAGGGUUCAGGGCAGCUGCACGCGGACACGUGCCCCUUGCCACCCACACCUCCCUCCCCAGAGGGAGGACUUGUCGAUGGGAUGCUUGCACAGGCUUCAUUCCUCUGGACGGGGCUGGAGCAGGCCAGGAACCCCCAUUGGACCUCCCCUUUUCCUCCCUGACUCCCAUGUGUCGCUUCCCGCUAACUCGGGUGCAGCAGAAAGGCCAGUUUGACUCUGGCUGGGAGAGAGAAGGCAUCCCCAGCCUUCGCUUUUGCCUCAGCUCCAGAUCAGAUGCUCUAAUCUUGCCUCUGUCCUCAGAGCGGCUGUUUCCGCAGCAGACCUAGGUGAGCUGGGCAGUUUUAUCAUGACAUAAAAAAAAAAAAAAAUUCUUUCCUGCAAGAAGUUUGAGAGUCAUGACCAACUCUGGCCAUCUCAUUACGAAAGCUCUUCCUGCCUAGGGAGAGACACUUUGUUCUCAAAACGCGUUAAAAAGAGUGGACAGAAUAGGGGAAGGAAGCCCAAGUUGAAAGGCACAGCCUGUCCCCCACCACAUCCCCCCUUCUCUGCACAGGCUUCUGGGGGCAGCACCGAAGGGCGACAGCAGUCAUUGUCAAAGCAUAAGAAACGGUGGGGAGGGGAGACAAAAGGUCAAGAUCAAGAUUAAGAUGUAUCUCUUUUCCUCUAGUCAACAGAGUCUGUUUCCAACACGGAAGGCAGUCCACCAGCAAUAGAUGAGUGACCUGUCCGUUCAACUUCCUGCCCACCUUAUUUGUCAACAAGAAAUGUGCAUGGAUUUUCCUCAUUGUCAGCUAAGAGGCUUUCCAUCAUUAUAGGUUGUCUUUCCAAGGAGGGGAACCUUUCCCCUCUUAAUGUCUAGAAAUUGAUUUUGAAUGUAAUAGAACAGGGUUUUGAUUUGUUUUGUUUUUUAACGUAUGCCACGGUUUCCUCACUUCUAUAAUCACACUUGAAUCACUUGUUGCCAAUGUAUCACCAUGGGCUUAAGGAAAGAAACCAGGUUGAUUUCCACAUUAAUGAUCCAAAUAAAAAAGGUUGAGAAAUGAGCCCUGAGCCACUAAGCCCACUGCAGCGUACAUAACAGGUUUACGUUUAGAAGUGGCCACGGGAAGCUUCCCUGAUUGGCGAGCAUAAAAAUAAAGCAUUUUCCUGUGGGUUAUUUCUAACCUGCAGAUUUUUUCCAUAGCCAGAUUUGCCUUGACCUCAGGGGUGAAACUUGAAACUUGAGAAAGAAGUGCUUCUCACUAGCAGUUCCCAUGAUGCUAUCAAUCCCAUUGUAAGACCAACAAUUAAUUAUAACAAUAAGAAGGACAUUAUUCAUCCAGGCCUCCCUUCCUGCUCUUAAAUUCAUAAAACUCCCUGCCACCCGGACAGUUGAUGUGUCUGUGUGUGUGUGUGUACACGAGUGUGCGUAAAAUAACCUGAUAAAAAUUAUGUGUAAAAUACACAGUGGAAAACUCUAAAAGGAAAAAUAGAAAAUAAUUAAAGCAGCUAUAUCAGAGUGGUGAUAUUAAUGGGAGAUGGGUCUUUCACUUUACUCUCUUUUUCUAAAAUAACCAUAUUGCAGUUUAAUUAUUUAACUAAAAUUAAUAUCAUUAAUUCAACAUAAGAAGUUUUAAGUACUUUACUCUUCACUGUUUACUGAGUGCCUACUAUGUGCCAGGUUUUGUUCUGAGUUCUAGGAAUACAGGGAGAAUAAGACAGGCACGGUUCUUUCAUGGGAGUUCUAGUCAAAUAAGGGAGACAGGUCAUAAACAGGUAAUUAUAUAAAUUUAUUAGUUAACGUAUUCAACAAGUAUUUAUUGGAUGCCAACUUUUGCCAGAAAUGUUCUGAGCACUGUGAAUCAGCAGGGAACAAAGCAGGCAAAUGUCCCUGACUUCGUGGAGUUUAUAUUGGAAUUGAUUUAGAUAUUGAUUUGGUUCUAAUCAGCAUGAGUAUCAUGGAGGGGAAGUACAGGGGACCUGACUCAUCUAAAAGGUCAGAGAUGACGUUCCCAAGGAAGUGACGUCAAAUGAAAUCGGGCUUGGUUUCGCCCUCCCGGACUGAGAGAGCUCCCCCAGACAGGGCAGGAGUUCCCCUAGGUGACUACAUUCCGGCAGGUGCUCUGUGUUGAGGUCUGUCUCACAGUUCCAGCUGCUGUGUGCCGGAGAUGUCCCUGGCCCCAGGCUGGCGGCGGAGAGGGAUUUGGAACCAGAUUUCACUUAGUCACCGCUGUCCAUUUGCGCACCAGCACUUUGUGUCCGUGAAGUCCUGAUACAGAAAAAAGCAAGGCCGUCCUUCCCUCCUGGGGAAGACACCACUGGAUGCGAGCUGGUGCAAUGGUGAGGACCACAGACUGGCAGAUUCGUGUCCACGUGUCCGCUCUGCCUCUCACUGUGUGACCUGGGGAAGUUCCUUCACCUCUCUGUCUCCUUCUCCUCCAUUCCUGAGAUGAUCACCUGAUAACACCUAUCUCCUAAGAGCUCUGGGAACUAAGCUGAAGUUUUAGAAUCACAGCUGCGGAGGCUCAUAUGUGUGUGCAAGGAUUUACAUACAAGGAUGUUCAGAGCAGCAUUAUCUGUAAUAACCUCAACCUGAAAAGAACCCAAAUGUCCAGGAACUCUAAAAUGUCCAAAAGCAGCAAAAUAGAAACCCGGAUUCCUGUCCUCACAGCUGGAACUUCCUCUAUGCACUAAUUGGAAAACAUCCUCUGGGAAAUGGGGCAUCUUUAUUGACUCAAUCUUUGGCGAUGACUAUGUCAACUGGCAAGAAGUUUAUAGCAGGGAAGUGAAGGCUCUGAAACCCUCCAGUGCACUGAGGUCCCAGGCCUCAGUCCAAGAAGCCACACUGACUUGACCCAAUCCCCAUAUGGAAAAUACUAAGGGUCACAUUAGGGAAGGGCUAGCUUGAGAGGCUGGGGUCAAUCCAUAAGUUCAAGAGCCAACCCAGGUAGAGGUCUCCCAACUUUCUUCCCUGUCUUCCUCAUUAACAGUAUCCCUGAAUAUUAGCUGCAUAAUAAAGACUACAUUUCCCAGGUUCCCUUGCAAUUAGAUAAAGUCACAUGAGGAAAUUAUGACUAACUAGAAAGCAAGCGGAAGGGGUAUAUGGAAUUUCCAUGAAGGGUCCUUAGAAAAGGGUAUGCGUCCUUCUUUUCCCUUCCUUUCCUUGCUUUUGGCUGGAAUGUGGCUGGAGAUUUAGCAGCCAUUUUGAACAAUGAGGUGACUUUGGAAAUUGGGUCCAUGCCAAUGGAUAGAAAAGCACUGUACCUUCCUGGACUCUUGCAAAAGAGAAAAUUUAAAUCUUGGUUAAGCCAUUGCUUUGGGAGAUUUUCUGUCACUUGUAGUUGAAACUAAUCUUAACUGAUAAUAACUGCAUUUUUUAUAAUGAUAGAGUAGAAGCAACCUCAGUGGCCCUUAGGAAGGGAUUGGUUAAAUUUGUUCACCCAUUUGCUUACUCAUUCAUCACAUUUUAAAUGAGUGCUUACCACAUAUCUGGCUCUGUUCUAAGCAUUGGGGAUAUAGUGGUUAAAAAAAAAUUAUUGUCUCUGCCCUCAAGAACUUUGUUAGAAGAGGAAGCAAGAGGCAUAAAUAAAUGGACAACUAAAAUAUAGUUUAAUCAGUGGAACCAUAGAGGUUGAGAGUUUAAAAAAAUAUUUUAAUGAGAUAAAGAAAAUGUUCAUGGCCUAUUGCUAAAAACAGUAGUUAUUAAAGAUCAUAUACAGUAAGUCUAAUUUGUAGAACAGCAUAUAUAUUUGCAUAGAGAAAGAGCAAAAUUGAUGUACAAUUAGUCUGAACACCUUGAACCACAUUUAGCAAGCAAAAAAGAAAUAGUUAAUGAAUGAAAGAUUUUAUUUCAAGGUGGAGG